rnacentral:rRNA from 1 species
AACGAACGCUGGCGGCGUGCCUAACACAUGCAAGUCGAACGAGAAAGGGGCUUCGGCUCCGAGUAAAGUGGCGCACGGGUGAGUAACACGUAGGUAACCUGCCUCUAAGAUUGGGAUAACUUGUCGAAAGAUGAGCUAAUACCAAAUAAGACCACGGUUUCCUCGGGGACAGGGGUCAAAGGUAGCCUCUAUUUAUAAGCUAUCGCUGAGAGAUGGGCCUGCGUACCAUUAGCUAGUUGGGAGGUAACGGCUCACCAAGGCAAAGAUGGUUAGCUGGUCUGAGAGGAUGAUCAGCCACACUGGAACUGAGACACGGUCCAGACUCCUACGGGAGGCAGCAGUGGGGAAUAUUGCGCAAUGGGCGAAAGCCUGACGCAGCAACGCCGCGUGAGUGAUGAAGGCCUU